UUCAGUUUUUAAUAUGAGAGAAUUGUUUUCAUAAGUAAAAUAUGCUCACUCAGUGGCCACACCCACGCGAAUAGGCAUUGGUUGUAAAUGAACAAACCCCUUUUCUACAUUUCUAUAAGAGCCCCCGUGACCCAAUUCACGGCAAACUAAACAAACCUCAGCAUGAGCUCUAGUUGCGAAUGGUUGAACGACUACAACCUAACAAAAUUAACACUGUGUUCCCGAUGACGUGAGGACUGGUGUCCAUACGUUAAAAAGGGGGAUUUUUAACGUGGAGGUGACGAUCGCCACGCUGGAAGGAUGAAUUUCGAUUAUACCAGCCAGAAUAUAGCAUGAGCUCAUUGUAUGGCAACUUGGUAUGAACUUUGAACUCUUAUUCACUAAAGAAGUGAUAACUCUACGUCUAGGAUGUAUCAGCAGCAACUGUAAAAUGUGCGUGGCCUAGGGAAGGACAGACAAUCUCUUCAGAACGACAGGGUGCUACAACGUAUCCAUUCUACCACACGACGACAGACUACAACGUAUCCACCCAGAAAUAUUCUUCAAAGGACAAGGGAGCUCUCUGCUGGGCAACCCAGCCUUCCAUCUUCGACCAAUCUAUCGAAGCACAGCUCAGAUGGACCGUAUGGGGAGGAGUCUGGAACGUAUUGGGAGGAGUCUGGAACGUAUGGGGAGGAGUCUGGAACGUAUGGGGAGGAGUCUGGAACGUAUGGGGAGGAGUCUUGAAUAAUGCAGUAUCCUGAGGUCCUUGUCCCCCGAUUGUUCAGUGUGGCCGGGUGGCCAGCCCCUGGAGGAGUCUUGGUGGU